rnacentral:rRNA from 1 species
UACGAAGGGGGCUAGCGUUGCUCGGAAUCACUGGGCGUAAAGGGUGCGUAGGCGGGUCUUUUAAGUCAGGGGUGAAAUCCUGGAGCUCAACUCCAGAACUGCCUUCGAUACUGAGAGUCUUGAGUCCGGGAGAGGUGAGUGGAACUGCGAGUGUAGAGGUGAAAUUCGUAGAUAUUCGCAAGAACACCAGUGGCGAAGGCGACUCGCUGCCGUGC